CCUACGGGUGGCAGCAGUGAGGAAUAUUGGUCAAUGGGCGAGAGCCUGAACCAGCCAAGUCGCGUGAGGGAGUACUGCCCUAUGGGUUGUAAACCUCUUUUGUCGGGGAGCAAAAGCCGGACGUGUCCGGCUGUGAGAGUACCCGAAGAAUAAGCAUCGGCUAACUCCGUGCCAGCAGCCGCGGUAAUACGGGGGAUGCGAGCGUUAUCCGGAUUUAUUGGGUUUAAAGGGUGCGCAGGCGGGCUGUUAAGCCGGCGGUAAAAAUUCAGGGCUCAACCCUGUCGAGCCGUCGGAACUGGCAGGCUUGAGUGGGCGAGAAGUAUGAGGAAUGCGUGGUGUAGCGGUGAAAUGCAUAGAUAUCACGCAGAACGCCGAUUGCGAAGGCAGCAUACCGGCGCCCGACUGACGCUGAGGCACGAAAGCGUGGGGAUCGAACAGGAUUAGAUACCCGUGUAGUC
rnacentral:rRNA from 1 species